rnacentral:rRNA from 1 species
UACGUAGGGAGCAAGCGUUGUCCGGAAUCAUUGGGCGUAAAGCGCGCGUAGGUGGCUUCGUAAGUCCGUUGUGAAAGUCAAAGGCUCAACCUUUGAAAGCCGAUGGAUACUGCGGAGCUAGAGUACGGAAGAGGCGAGUGGAAUUCCUGGUGUAGCGGUGGAAUGCGCAGAUAUCAGGAGGAACACCAAUAGCGAAGGCAGCUCGCUGGGACGUUACUGACACUGAGGCGCGACAGCGUGGGGAGCAAACAGG